rnacentral:rRNA from 1 species
UGGGGAAUCUUCCGCAAUGGACGAAAGUCUGACGGAGCAACGCCGCGUGAGUGAAGAAGGUUUUCGGAUCAUAAAACUCUGUCUUUUGGGGCGAACGUGAGUAUGGUGAACAAUCAUAGUCAGUGACGGUACCAAAGGAGGAAGCCACGGCUAACUACGUGCCAGCAGCCGCGGUAAUACGUAGGUGGCAAGCGUUGUCCGGAAUUAUUGGGCGUAAAGAGCGCGUAGGCGGGAUAGUCAGUCUGUUGUAAAGUGCGGGGCUCAACCCCGUGAUCGCAAUGGAAACAGCUAUUCUUGAGUGCAGGAGAGGAAAGUGGAAUUCCCAGUGUAGCGGUGAGAUGCGUAGAUAUUGGGAGGAACACCAGUGGCGAAGGCGACUUUCUGGACUGUGUCUGACGCUGAGGCGCGAAAGCCAGGGGAGCGAACGGGAUUAGAUACCCCGGUAGUCCUGGCCGUAAACGAUGGGUACUAGGUGUGGGAGGUAUCGACCCCUUCCGUGUCGGAGUUAACGCAAUAAGUACCCCG